rnacentral:rRNA from 1 species
UAACCGGCGGAAACGGCGACUAAUACCCCAUAUGCUGCGAUGCUGCAUGGCAUUGCAAUGAAAGAUUCAUCGGUGGCGGAUAGGCUCGCGGGACAUUAGCUAGACGGCGGGGCAACGGCCCACCGUGGCGACGAUGUCUAGGGGUUCUGAGAGGAAGACCCCCCACACUGGGACUGAGACACGGCCCAGACUCCUACGGGAGGCAGCAGUGAGGAAUAUUGGUCAAUGGGCGGAAGCCUGAACCAGCCAUGCCGCGUGAAGGACUAAGGCCCUACGGGUCGUAAACUUCUUUAGACGCAGAGCAAUAAGGUCCACGAGUGGACCGAUGAGAGUAUGCGUAGAAUAAGCAUCGGCUAACUCCGUGCCAGCAGCCGCGGUAAUACGGGGGAUGCGAGCGUUAUCCGGAUUCAUUGGGUUUAAAGGGUGCGUAGGCGGCCGAGUAAGUCAGCGGUGAAAGACCGGGGCUCAACCCUGGAAGUGCCGUUGAUACUGUUUGGCUGGAAUGAUCCCGCCGCGGGAGGAAUGAGUGGUGUAGCGGUGAAAUGCAUAGAUAUCACUCAGAACACCGAUUGCGAAGGCAUCUCGCGAGGGGUCAAUUGACGCUGAGGCACGAAAGCGUGGGGAUCAAACAGGAUUAGAUACCCUGGUAGUCCACGCGGU